rnacentral:rRNA from 1 species
AGACAGAGGUGGCAAGCGUUGUUCGGAUUUACUGGGCGUAAAGAGCAUGUAGGCGGUUGGAUUAGUCAGUUGUGAAAUCCUAUGGCUUAACCAUAGAAUUGCAUCUGAUACUGUCUAGCUAGAGUGCAGAAGAGGAGAGUGGAAUUUCCAGUGUAGCGGUGAAAUGCGUAGAUAUUGGAAGGAACACCGGUGGCGAAGGCGGCUCUCUGGUCUGUAACUGACGCUGAGAUGCGAAAGCGUGGGUAGCAAACAGGAUUAGAAACCCCUGUAGUCC